rnacentral:rRNA from 1 species
UACGAAGGGUGCAAGCGUUAAUCGGAAUUACUGGGCGUAAAGCGCGCGUAGGUGGUUCGUUAAGUUAGGAGUGAAAGUCCCGGGCUCAACCUGGGAACUGCGCUUGUGACUGGCAGGCUAGAGUACGGUAGAGGGGGGUGGAAUUCCUGGUGUAGCAGUGAAAUGCGUAGAGAUUAGGAAGAACACCAGUGACGAAGGCGGCUUUCUGGACGAUAACUGACGCUGAGGCGCGAAAGCGUGGGUAGCAAACAGGAUUAGAUACCCCCGUAGUCCCUGAG